rnacentral:rRNA from 1 species
AUUUGAACGCUGGCGGCAUGCUUUACACAUGCAAGUCGAACGGUAACAGGGAGCUUGCUCCGCUGACGAGUGGCGAACGGGUGAGUAAUGCAUCGGAACGUACCCAGUCGUGGGGGAUAACGUAGCGAAAGUUACGCUAAUACCGCAUACGUCCUGAGGGAGAAAGCGGGGGACCGUAAGGCCUCGCGCGAUUGGAGCGGCCGAUGUCGGAUUAGCUAGUUGGUAGGGUAAAGGCCUACCAAGGCGACGAUCCGUAGCGGGUCUGAGAGGAUGAUCCGCCACACUGGGACUGAGACACGGCCCAGACUCCUACGGGAGGCAGCAGUGGGGAAUUUUGGACAAUGGGCGAAAGCCUGAUCCAGCCAUGCCGCGUGAGUGAAGAAGGCCUGG